UACAGAGGUUCCAAGCGUUGUUCGGAUUCACUGGGCGUAAAGGGUGCGUAGGCGGUCAUUUAAGUCUGACGUGAAAUCUCCGGGCCUAACCCGGAAACUGCGUUGGAAACUAUCUGACUAGAGGAAUGGAGGGGAGACUGGAAUACUUGGUGUAGCAGUGAAAUGCGUAGAUAUCAAGUGGAACACCAGUGGCGAAGGCGAGUCUCUGGACAUUUCCUGACGCUGAGGCACGAAAGCCAGGGGAGCAAACGGG
rnacentral:rRNA from 1 species